CGGCGGCGGCUAGAGGCUCCCGCCGGCCGCUCGUCCUCGCCCGCCCAGCCCGGCCUUGGCGCUGCCCGCUCGGUGCUGCCGCCAUCUUCCCGGAGGAGAGCCCCGGGCUCCCCGCCGCGGCCGCCCUCGCCCCGGCCGCCCCCCGCGUGCCCCCGCCGGCGUCCCUCUGCGCGUCGGCAGCCACCGGCCUCGCCUCCGGGGACGUCCUUGCUGCCCGCCGCGGCGACCCCCUGGGCGCGGACUCGCGAUACCUGCUCCACUCUUCUCCGCGUCAGGAGCCGAGCUCAUAAGUGUGUGGAUGCCAGCUGAGCCUUUCAAAACUCCAGCUCCUGCUAACCCUGUGCCUGUGUGUUAGACAGAUCGACAACUCUUCACUGAAGAUGUCCAAGCAACAACCAGCUCAGUUUAUAAAUCCAGAGACUCCUGGCUAUGUUGGGUUUGCAAACCUUCCCAAUCAGGUUCACCGGAAGUCUGUGAAGAAAGGCUUUGAGUUCACACUGAUGGUAGUUGGUGAAUCUGGCCUGGGAAAAUCGACUCUGAUUAACAGCCUGUUCCUGACCGAUCUCUACCCGGAAAGGAUCAUCCCAGGAGCCGCAGAGAAAAUCGAGAGAACCGUCCAGAUUGAGGCUUCGACUGUGGAGAUAGAAGAGCGCGGGGUGAAGCUGCGCCUGACGGUGGUGGACACGCCUGGCUACGGGGACGCCAUCAACUGCAGGGAUUGUUUUAAGACCAUCAUCUCCUACAUUGAUGAGCAGUUCGAACGGUACCUGCACGACGAGAGCGGCCUGAACCGCCGGCACAUCAUCGACAACAGGGUGCACUGCUGCUUCUAUUUCAUCUCGCCCUUCGGACACGGGCUGAAGCCCCUGGAUGUGGCCUUCAUGAAGGCGAUUCACAACAAGGUGAACAUCGUGCCUGUCAUCGCCAAGGCCGACACCCUCACGCUGAAGGAGCGGGAGCGCCUCAAGAAGAGGAUUCUGGAUGAAAUUGAGGAGCACAAUAUCAAAAUCUAUCACUUACCUGAUGCAGAAUCUGAUGAGGAUGAAGAUUUUAAAGAGCAGACGAGACUCCUCAAGGCCAGCAUCCCGUUCUCUGUUGUCGGGUCCAAUCAGCUGAUUGAAGCUAAAGGCAAGAAGGUCAGAGGCCGCCUCUACCCGUGGGGCGUCGUGGAGGUGGAGAACCCUGAGCACAACGACUUCUUGAAGCUGAGGACGAUGCUCAUCACGCACAUGCAGGACCUCCAGGAGGUGACCCAAGACCUUCACUACGAAAACUUCCGCUCCGAGAGACUCAAGAGAGGUGGCAGGAAAGUGGAAAACGAGGACAUGAAUAAAGACCAGAUCUUGCUGGAAAAGGAAGCUGAGCUCCGCCGCAUGCAGGAGAUGAUCGCAAGGAUGCAGGCGCAAAUGCAGCUGCAGAUGCAGGGGGGCGACGGCGACAGUGGGCCCCACAGCGGCCACCACGUGUAAGGUAAUGCGUCCCCGCUCUGCCCCAGGACCCAGUGCUCGGCUGCUCUGCAGAGGAAGGGUGGGAGCACUUCCCCCACGAGGGCCAAGCUGACAGCUGUCGAAACACCUCUUAGCCAGCCAGCUAGUCCAUUUGUUAGGACGGGGGGCGUGCGAGGCCUUGGUUUUGAUGCCCUGCACCAUGGUCAUCCCGAGCACCGCUGCAAGAGAAAGGCUGUACUAAGGUGUGCAGAAACAGCUGUGCAGAGCAGGUGAGGGCCACGGUCUCCACUCCGCACCGUGGUGUCUGCACCGUCCUGCAAGGAAGGGCCCUGGCACCGUAACCAGGAGUUCCGAGAGGCCAGUGUGUCCAUCUCCCUCCCCCUUCCCCUUCUCCAGAGGAUUGAGGCCUGGGAAGGUCAGGCAGGGGGGAGGUUUUCUGGUCUGGGCCGUGCAGGCCUGCUGGCUAGAAGGGAGCAUGGGUGUGUCAGGUACAGGAGGCUAGAAUCCUCUCAGACUCCACUGCCACCAAGGGCAGGAGACCUCAGCCUUGGAGGCAGCACGCAGACACACAGACACUCUGCAGUGCCUGGUCCCGAGAGAGUCCGUCUUGGCACCCCACAUCAGACUGACCAGAAGGAGGCUGGUGCCUAUGCACGAGGCUGUUAGACACGGGCCUGCGGUUGUGAGCUAGCUGGGGGCAGGACCUCCAAUGGGUGUCUCCAGGCCAGCCCGGUGCCUGCGGGGGGUGGGGGGAGGAGGCACACUGGAGCCGAGCGUGGUGGAUGGUGGCUUCUCUGAUUGUGCUUCUCCUCUUUUUAACACUUCCAUGUGGAAUGAUGAGAAUUCCACGAUACACUCUUCAACACAGAGGAGACGUUCUGGCUGGGUCCGACAGCUGCACGUUUCAUGAGCCCCCGGAGGGUCGCCCACUCGCAUUUCAUGGUCCCCAUGCCUGAGGGGCAUCUGUCAUGGUCGAUGUGCUGAUUUCCACACAGCACUCGCAGCAUUUGUAUUUCAUUGUCCUGUCAUACUUUCUAUUUUGUGAGGUAAAUUUUUCAUUCUUCUACCUAAACUAAUCACUGAUCCUAGAAUUGAUUCUCAGUAUUAGUAUAUAUACAUAUAUAUAUAUAUAUAUAUAUAUAUAUAUAUAUAUAUAUAUAUAGUUAAUGUUGAAUUUCCUUGAUUUGACUGGCCACACUGGUAAUUGAGGAGCACCCUUGAUUUAUUUCUAGAACAUUCAGAUUUCCCCUGAUGGUAGAGAUGUGGACACAGCAGUAAAGAAAGACAAGCACAGGCUGGGCUCUGUGGGAGUCUCGCGUUGGUCGAGCACAGCAUCAGAUGCCCUAAUCCCACCCCAGUAGUCCAUCUGCCCAGUUGUUUACCAGAUGAAACAGAAUUGUGAUACAUGUGUUUAUACUUAGAUGGUUUUUUUGAAAGACACAUAAGGGUGAAUUUCAGGAGUUUUCCAGAUUCUGUUAUUACAUUAUUUUUAAAUCCCCUGUGCAGCGUCUUACCACAAACCACUCUUGCAGAUUUCCUCUGAUCCUGCUUAUACUCUUAGGAGAGAAUCUAAAGGCUCCGGUUUUCAUAUAUAACCGAGCAUCAUCACUGUUUUUACUCUGAUUAAAAGUCUUUUUAAGGAAAACUCACAAUUGAGAUAUUGGUACACCAGCCUUUUCCUGUUUUCAUACUGGACUGCACUUGAACAGCAUCUCUGUGACCCAGGGCGGGGCAUCCCCCUGCUGUGACACCAGCAUCUGGUGCUGGCCCUCAACCCAGACCAGCCGUGGGCCCUGCAGCCUUGGCAUGGUGCAGCCGUCUCCCGGGAGCCCUGGAGUCCUGGUGUCUCUCUGAGGGAGCAGAGGGCAGCAGGCACGUGUGGCAGCGUCUGUCUUGUCCAUCUCCGUGCAGACGGUGCUCUGAGACUCCCGAGGGUUAUUUGACAGGUGUCCCCGUGGGGCCACCCCUGGUCUCUUCCCCCCAGGCCCUCCCAGCUAGCAUUCCUGUGGUGCACCCCAGGGGCAUUUCUGCCCACUCACAGGCCAAGGGGUUAAUCUGGGCCAGAGCAGGAGGAGAGGGAGGCCGUGGGAGUCUGCAGACUGGGGCUCUCAGUCUGCCUGUGUCGCAUGUUGGUCUGGGCGCGUUGCAGAGUCCCGCACGGGAGAGUGCGGCGUCCUGGCCGUGCCGGUGCACUUCACCCUUCUGCCUGCCGACAGGUAACUGCUCUUUCUUUCUAAGAGGUCGUCUUUACCUGUAGGGUGUAUUCUGAGAGUCUGAGUGGAUAGGAAUUAAACCACCCCCUGGUUUGAUUCCCAACAUCACCCGGUCCCCCAAAUACCUCCAGGUGUGGCCCAGAACCUCUCUUUCCCCUUAGGGAAAAUGUAUUUUGAAUACUUAAUUUUACACAGCAGUUUGUAUUCACUAAAACUAACCUUUUAUCAAUAAAGUACUAUUGUUUAGAUAA